GCUGCACGGCAUGCAACUAACUGGCAAGUCACAAUCAUUUGAAAAAGGUGCGGUAUGUGCCCGUUUUCCGCCGUUAAAUGAUGCAUGCAGCCUAAUUUUGGAUAGAGAAUCAAGUGCGACGAAGAUGGCCGUAAUAGUUCUACUACUUUAAGAACACGGGUCAGAUUUGGACAACGACUUCGAAGGCAUUCGCAGUAGACCAAACAGAGAAAGAGAGGGAGACACAUAACCACCUGUCUCGGUGUCACACAUGAGGAGUUGAGGAGGAGAUGAAGUCGGUGAAUAUGACCUGGCCUGGGGGAGUUUCCAGAAGAAGGCCCAGAAUCGCCGGAUGCCAGGAGUGGAGAUCCUUCGUUGCUGCCCUACAUGCUAGGAGGCAUCGGGCAGUAGAUGCUGUAAUUUGAAACGGAAGGUAUCCUGCCAAUAAAUUUUCAUCCCAUCUGAACUGCCUUGCCUGCCUGCACCCAGUCAUCUGUUCCUGAGCAUUUUCAUUCUAUUUUUCAUCAUCGUUCUUUUCGGCCUGUAUGAAGUGAAUUUCACAUUGAUUGGUGGAGCUGCUAAGUUGGCAUUACAGGGCCACGCCGGGGUAUGAUCCUUGGGGUUGAACAUCAUGACUGCUAGUUGGUCGGUGAAGGUGAUGGGAUGGAUCAAUGUCGCAUGGAGUAAGAUCGAUACCAAUCUGCUUUGCUACAUUUCGAACAAUCUCAUACGGAUACGGAUAUUAUUGCGACAGGAGUACUGUUCGAUGUGGUCAAGCCUAUUUGACAAAGCAUUAUGGUGUUAGUCAUGUUAUCAGAAACCGAUUUUUCAAAAUCACGGAGUUGCUUCAAUUUAGUAUCGAUAGAUAUUUCAAGAACGUGUAGACGAGUGAGCUUUUCAUCAAGAAUUUCACGCAAUUUAUUUUCGCGCUUAUCCAUAUCAUCAUUGAGUUUUUGUCUAUCGCGUUCCAUUGACACGGCCACCGCUCUUUGAACGACUGUAUCAAUAUGAUCUAGGUAUGCUGGGCUUUGUUUAGAUCCAGUUAAUGAUGAAACAGAGGAUUGUGUACAUGCGUUAGCCGAGUGCAGGCGGCCUCUUGAUCUGGUGGAUAUCUUAGACAUGUUGUUAGAGAUUACGUAAUGAUAUAAUUGAAAAGUGGGAUAGGCUGUGCAUCUGCCAACUCACCAGUCAACCAAUUAGAGACGGCCUUCGAAAGUGACACAGCACGAAAAUAUCAAUAUGGGACUGGUCUAGUCAACACAUAGAUCCUGAAAAAAACCAUGGAGACCGCAGACGCAAAAUGAUUUCCAUACAUAAAGAUAUGAUGCACAAUUUCCAGUGGGUUCAAAACACUGAACACAUGCUAUGCUGAUACACAGACUAUUUUAAGAACUUUAUCAAGCAUAGGAAAUCUGGUAUGAAAUCUCUCAGCUCACAUAAAAAGCCUACGUAGCUACAUGUAGGGAAGAAAAUGUGUAAUUGCUGAGAAAUGAGCAAAAUAAGCAUGUAAUUCUAUCAAAUGUCGGGUGUUUUUCGAGUCAAUCAUAAUACACUGUCCUGUCCCACAUAUGCUUUUCUGUGUUAGUGAUCAUCAGAAUUAUUUAUUUUAAGUUCAAAAUUCAUGAUUUUACAAAGAUACAAGUUUACAAUAAUUUACCAGGGCCCCGUCUUACAAAGAGUUAUGAUUGAUCCGAUCAAUCGCAACUAUGGACGGUCAGCAAUGUUAACAUCUAUUAAGCACGUUUGUUCAAAAUAUUUUCUAGCUAUGAUGUAUGUUCAUGCAUUCAUUGUUUUCUCAAAAAUUCGCUGCGCUUCUUUUUGCAUACAAAAGACAUUGUGCAAAUUUUUCGUAGAAAAAAAAUUAUGACACUGAUGGUUUUCCAUAGAGUUAUGAUUGAUCGUUCAAUCGUAACUCUUUGUAAGACGAGCCCAGAUCUAGAUUAUGUACAAUAUUUUGACAAUUAACCUUAAUUUAAAAGACUUUCCGAAGAAAUAAUUGUUUGCUGCAACUACUGUCUUUUACCCCUAAGUGAUAGUGUAAUACAACCCAAACUUUUCAUAAGAAUUAAUGUACAUGUAUGAUUCUUUCACCCAAAUGUGAACUUCCAUAAAUCCUGAAAUUAUUCCAACUCAGGUAUUUUUUUUUUUUACAUAUAUUUUUACCUACAUUACAUAGUUGUCUAAAGUUGAAGGUAUAUUUAAUUAUUAUUUCAACGAAAAAGCUUUAUUCUUGGAGAUCAUUAUGCCUCUGUUAUGUAUUAAUGUGUAUUUAUACAUGUACAAUUGUAUGUAUUGGAAUAACAAACAUUGUAAUUUCAUUCCUUUGACCCUAAUACUGCAUUUUCAUAGAAAAGUGUUUUUUUUUUCAAUCUAUUUAGAUUUUUCAACUUUUUGUUUUCCUUUUUUUUUUUUUGCUGGUAAUAUCAUGUUAUGCAACUUUUAUUUAUUAAUAGAAUGUUUGCCACGAUUUCGU